rnacentral:piRNA from 1 species
GUGUGAAGGCGUGGGUAUCCUCA